UUACUUUGUAAAGUUUUGUUACGGUUUUAAAGUGCAUGUACCUGUACCUGUAAUCACCACAGCUCUUUGGGCUGCAUUAUCAAUUUCAGGUGUUUAAUGCAUGUAGAAUCAUUCAAACUUGAAAGAGUAAAAGCCCUUACAAAUGUUUGAUGGAGAAAGUUCACUUUGUGUGCCAAAGAAAGGCUUGAUUUAUGCGGCAGACGUCGCGAAAUCAUCAAACAAACUGAGCGCGAGGGAUUACUCGCAAUCUGCACAGACUGUGCCUAUGGAGAAGCAUAUAAAUUACAUGUACACGUGCAUCGGUUGUCACGAGACAUGCUACCGGAGUUUUGAAAUGCCUGAAUGCUGCUUGAAAACAAAAGUUACACAAAACAACUAAGAUUCUCUCUCUGAAGCUUCAUCUUCCCCUAAGAAACUCUCGGCUAGAUCUUUUGGAAGAUCUUCAAGACUCUGGCAUAUCUGGUGUGUUGCCUGUUAACUUGAAUGUACAUGUAUCAUGGAGUAAAGUUGAGCUGUUCUUCACUCAACGUGGGAAAUGCGUCAAGGAUAAGAUGUUGCAGGCAGAAAUUUUUGAUGAAGGAAUGCUUUGUUAAGCAGCAGAGAGCAAAAGAGAUGAGAAUGUUUUGAUACACAUUUGGAACAAAGAUUGUGUCGCUCUGGAGGUUUGAUAUCGCACCUCUUAUUACAAAUUAUACACUCAGUUCCUUACAAGGAAAAGCAAGGGUCCUGAAGGGAAUGAACUUCAGAUGGAGCACCAAGCUAGAGGCCUACAAAAUGUUCAGCAGAGAUAGUGAUUAAUGGCCAGGAAAUCAUGAGUAUGUCAAAGAUUCCUCAACUGUUCGUGGCAAUGAUAAAAAAAAGAUGAUAAUAAAAAAAAA